rnacentral:lncRNA from 1 species
UGAAUGUUUAUAAGUGAUUUUUUCUCUGUAAAGUUUGAAUAUUUAAGGAUGAAAAGAGUUGUUUCAGAUAAUCCAUCUUUCUAAUCAAGUAUUUCUAUUCCUCUAAUUAAGAGCUUAACCUAAGAUUUUAUUUUUUUCUAAGAAGGAAAAAAAGUAAAAAUUAUACAUUUUAUAAUUCAUCAGAAAUAAACUUUCCUUUAGUAUUGUGCAAUCACCAUUCUGAGCAAUUAAGCUAAAGUAAAUGGUACAAGGAUUUCAAUUACAGAUUGUGCUAUCUUGAGUCUGCUGUUGAGAACAUUUAUACCUCACUUUUCCUUUAUUUUCUAGGCAUUACAACUUG